UAACCAAUGAGAUUAACUCGGGAAGGCUAUGUGACUUCCUCCAUCUCUCACCCUCACAAAUCACAAUUCCAAGAAUGCAACGUCUUUGAUCUCAUUCUCAGUUUCUCUAAUGUCCUGCUUGUCUGCUUCUGAUUGCCUACUGCCGGCCUAGUGGCCUACUCGUCACUUGACUCGGCUAGACGGCUGCUCCCGGUCUCCGUACUCCGCGUCUCCACUCUCCGCCUGCUCGUACUGCUGCAGUGGCGCAGCCGCGCAGUGCUGCUGCUGCCUGUCUACUCGCUCUGCCACCGGUCGCCGCUCCGCCUCCGGUAGUCCGGUCUCCGUCGAGUAAGAUAAAUUUUUUUCAACUCCUGUACCUGGAAGGAAACAAGAUUUUCUAGUGGCAGACACCACGACAAGAGGGAUUCCAAGUCAUCCAGCCACAUCAAGAAGAAUUUUCUAGUGGCAGAUUUUCUAGCUGAUUUUUCUGUGAAUUUGGUUUUCUAGUUAUCAGUGAAAUUUAGGAUUUUUAGUUGAAGUUGUGAUUGGAAACAUGUUGGGUCGUUCUCCCCUUUUGAGGGCUGGGAGUUUGCGGCCGGAAAACUUGGGCCAACAUGCUCUAGCUAUGAUUGGAAAUGUGUGUUUCAGUAUCUUUGUUGUUGGGGUUUUGAUUUUCACCAUUAUUGCUGCGACUUAUGAACCCGAGGAUCCCCUUUUCCACCCGUCUGAUAAGAUAUCCACCUUCCUUACCUCGAACUCGAAUGCUACGUUUGAGUCAGAUAAUACAGUCAUAAAGACUGGGGAAGAUUUCAUGGCGGCGAAUCAGACUGCUUUUAACACUUUUAUAAACAUCACUGAUGUAGCUGAUAAUGCUGAGAUUGCGGCUAGUACGGGUUCUGAUUGUGGGGAUGAGGUUGGUAAACCUAUUGACUGUAAGGACCCGGAAGUUUUCCAUACUAUGAUGAGAGCUGCUAUUGAGAAGUUUAAGGACAUCCAUUUUUACCGAUUUGGGAAGCCGGUCCGUGGUUUGGAUGAUAAUACUUGUGAUAUGGCGUGGCGGUUUAGACCUAAAGAAGGGAAGACUGCCUCACUUUAUAAAGAUUAUCGGAGAUUUGUGAUCUCCAAGGCAGAGAAUUGUUCUUUGAGUGUGACUGAUGUAGGUGAGUACCACAGUGGUGUUAAUGCGAGGAAGAGGAAGCCAAAGAAGCAAGCUGUGUUUGAGAAAGAAGGCCAACAAGGUGAAGUGGCUUCCUUGCCGGUUGUUGGGGAGAUGGUUAAUGAUAGUCUUCCUGUUGUUGAAUCAGAAGCCGCAUUUAAGAAUGGGAAAUACUUGUACUAUGCUGGGGGUGGAGAUCGGUGUAAGAGCAUGAAUCACUACCUCUGGAGUUUCUUGUGUGCACUUGGUGAAGCUCAGUAUUUGAACCGUACAUUGAUCAUGGACUUGAGCAUUUGUCUAUCAUCUAUGUACACAAAGACGGGUCAAAAUGAGGAAGGAAAGGAUUUUCGAUUUUAUUUUGAUUUUGAGCAUUUGAAAGAGGAAGCCUCAGUAUUGGACCAACUCCAAUUUUGGACAGAUUGGAAUAAGUGGCAGAGGAAUGAUAGACUGAGUCUUCAUCUUGUGGAAGAUUUUAAGGUUUCACCAGUGAAACUCAAGGAUCUGAAAGAUACUCUAGUCAUCAGAAAGUUUGGAACCGUUGAGCCGGAUAAUUACUGGUAUCGUGUGUGUGAAGGAGAGGCAGAAUCUGUUAUCCAGAGACCGUGGCACAUGUUAUGGAAGUCAAGAAGGUUGAUGGACAUAGUCUCUGCAAUUGCAUCGAGGUUAAACUGGGACUAUGAUUCUGUUCAUAUUGUAAGAGGGGAGAAAACACUGAACAAAGAACUCUGGCCUAAUCUUGACAGGGAUACCUCACCUGAUUCUCUUCUUACAACACUAAAGGACAAGAUUGAAGAAGGAAGAAACCUCUAUAUUGGUACAAACGAGCCUGACAAGUCAUUCUUUGACCCCUUGAAAGACAAGUACACAACCCAUUUUCUAGAUGAAUACAAGGAUCUAUGGGAAGAAAACAGUGAGUGGUCUUCUGAGACAACGAAGCUCAACAAUGGGGCUCCUGUUGAAUUCGAUGGGUACAUGAGGAUAUCAGUUGACACAGAAGUGUUUUUGAGAGGGAAAAAGCAGCUCGAGACCUUCAAUGACCUUACUAGUGAUUGCAAAGAUGGGGCGGGAAGUUUGGCGCUGCUAUUUCACGAAUUCUUUUGCCGCCUUGAGAAUUUGGGAAAAGGGGAAGAACUCUAAACCCUAAAUUUGUUCCCUCACAAGCUCACCGUCGAGCCACACCACCAAUUGUCCUCGAUGCUUGAUUUCAUUUAUAAAGAUUAUGGGAUCUUGUUUCGGAGCCGGAAUGCUAGGUCAGGACGGUGUCGCUUCGACUUCUCAGUCGCCGGGGAUGGAGGCAUUUAGGGCGGAUGUGUGAAUCUUGUUGGCUUGGCUUCAAAUCGGCACGGUAGAGUCAGAGAACUGAAGGUUGAACAGCAAUAGAGGAUUUAGCAGAGUAGGAACAUAUUGAGGUCAUUGUUUAUGUUCAACAUGCCUAUGGGUUACAGAUUUUGGGUAACCAGAACCACUUUAUGAUAGAGGGGAUCACGGCGGGCAAUUGAGUACAUCAAGUAGCUUGGUUGAGAUGGAAUGGAGAAGCUGUUGGAGGAUUCAGUACUUUGUAGGGUUCGGGCGAAACGGGGUUGUGCCACCCAUCCUCAUAGCAUUGCCGAGAGGGUACUAAAAGAUGCAAAAAGCUUUCUUCUUGGAAACAUCUACAAGUCUAUAAGUGAAAAUGAAAAAUAUGCACUCGUCAAACAAAGAAGAAGUGAUAGAUGAGGAUGUAGUCCAUGCAAGGGUUCCUUUUAUUGCUCGAAAACAACAACGUUUUGCAGUCAAAGCUGGAAUUGAUGGGCUGCUUGAUGUUGCAAGGAGGACAUUUUGUGAUACUAGUGAAGCAAUACAUAAGUUCACAAACACGUAUCGUGAAGGUUUUAGUCUGCCAAACCUAAAACUUCUUUUCAACAACAGACAAGGGUUUUACUUCAGCAUCCCUUCAGAAAGAUGUUCAUGGAAAGCUUCCUAGCAUGUUCAUUCAGGUUCUGCAUUGAAGCUUUUGACUUUAUAUUGUGAUUGUACACAGCUACCUUUUCUGUGACUUUUAGAAGCAGGUUGUGAAACAUGGAAAGUUGGAAAUAAUCUACACUGCUCUACCUUGGAACGUGCAUCUGUGAGUAUCAUCUUGAUUGAGAAAAUAUCCUUACAGUCCAUUUUUUUUCUUUAGCAGAAGAACAAUAAUAUGUGUAUUGUGAAAUGCUUUUUACUCCGGGGCCAGUCUAUUAGAAAUGCAUGUGAAGAGUAUACUGCUUGUAACCCCAUUUGCGUAUAUAGUUCGUUUUACCUCUUCUUUUUUUAGGUUCAAAAUUUGUGUAGCUUGAGGUUUCUAUAUAGAAAGAGAAAAUUAUUGAGUGGCUUGAA